GAUGAACGCUGGCGGCGUGCCUAAUACAUGCAAGUCGAGCGAACGGACGAGAAGCUUGCUUCUCUGAUGUUAGCGGCGGACGGGUGAGUAACACGUGGAUAACCUACCUAUAAGACUGGGAUAACUUCGGGAAACCGGAGUUAAUACCGGAUAAUUUUUUGAACCGCAUGGUUCAAAAGUGAAAGACGGUCUUGCUGUCACUUAUGGAUGGAUCCGCGCUGCAUUAGCUAGUUGGUAAGGUAACGGCUUACCAAGGCAACGAUGCAUAGCCGACCUGAGAGGGUGAUCGGCCACACUGGAACUGAGACACGGUCCAGACUCCUACGGGAGGCAGCAGUAGGGAAUCUUCCGCAAUGGGCGAAAGCCUGACGGAGCAACGCCGCGUGAGUGAUGAAGGUCUUCGGAUCGUAAAACUCUGUUAUUAGGGAAGAACAUAUGUGUAAGUAACUGUGCACAUCUUGACGGUACCUAAUCAGAAAGCCACGGCUAACUACGUG
rnacentral:rRNA from 1 species